rnacentral:rRNA from 1 species
GAUGAACGCUAGCGGCAGGCCUAAUACAUGCAAGUCGAACGGUGUAGCAAUACAUAGUGGCGCACGGGUGCGUAACACGUAUGCAACCUACCUUAUACUUAGGGAUAGCCUUUGGAAACGGAGAUUAAUACCUGAUGGUAUAUUUAACUGGCAUCGGUUGAAUAUUAAAGAUUUAUUGGUAUAAGAUGGGCAUGCGUCCAAUUAGUUAGUUGGUGGGUAAUGGCUCACCAAGACGAUGAUUGGUAGGGGAACUGAGAGGUUAAUCCCCCACACUGGCACUGAGAUACGGGCCAGACUCCUACGGGAGGCAGCAGUAGGGAAUAUUGGGCAAUGGAGGCAACUCUGACCCAGCCAUGCCGCGUGCAGGAUGAAGGCGUUAUGCGUU